rnacentral:rRNA from 1 species
GACGAACGCUGGCGGCGUGCUUAACACAUGCAAGUCGAACGGUAAGGCCCUUCGGGGUACACGAGUGGCGAACGGGUGAGUAACACGUGGGUGAUCUGCCCUGCACUUCGGGAUAAGCCUGGGAAACUGGGUCUAAUACCGGAUAGGACCACUGCCUGCAUGGGUGGUGGUGGAAAGCUUUUGCGGUGUGGGAUGGGCCCGCGGCCUAUCAGCUUGUUGGUGGGGUGAUGGCCUACCAAGGCGACGACGGGUAGCCGGCCUGAGAGGGUGACCGGCCACACUGGGACUGGGGUACGGCCCAGACUCCUACGGGAGGCAGCAGUGGGGAAUAUUGCACAAUGGGGGCAAGCCUGAUGCAGCGACGCCGCGUGAGGGAUGACGGCCUUCGGGUUGUAAACCUCUUUCAGCACCGACGAAGCGCAAGUGACGGUAGUGCAGAAGAAGGACCGGCCAACUACGUGCCAGCAGCCGCAGUAA